GCUCCAUCCUUGGAGGAAUUGGGACCACAAUUGCUCAAGUAUGGCUGAGAAGGCGGUGUGGGAUAAGGAAAAUGUGAAGCACUUCUGUGACAUAUGCAUGCAUGAGGUUAAUGCUGGGCAUAGGCCAUUAGGUCAUUUGAACAAAGUCGGAUGGAAGAAUGUUGCAGAAAAGUUUGAACACAUAACUGGUCGGAAACUAGAACAUUUGCAACUCAAGAAUAAAUGGGAUAGUCUGAAAAGAAGUUAUACUGUUUUUAUGGAGUUAAAAAAUGCUGCAACUGGACUUGGUUGGAAUGAUGACAAGCAGACUGUAGAUUGUUCAAAUGAAUGGUGGAACGAGCAUCUUGCGAGAUGUCACGAUCCAAGUAAUGGAAGGAAAUGCAAACAUGUUCAGUUUAGAAAACGUGGUCCGGACAACUUGGAGGCGAUGCACAUC